AUGAGUUUCCAGGUCUGUUUUUUAGAUAGACGAAAGGGGACUAAAAUAAAAGUUUCUGUUGCGAACUCUGAGGAGGAAUUCAAGAACACUACAGUUGAAGAAUUAAAAAGAAAACUCUUGUCUGAAGACAGCAGAUAUAAAGUCUGUGAACUUUACUGCAAUGACAAGCUUCUGUUUCAUGAUCGUACACUUGGCUCUCAUGGCAUUAAACACACUGAUGUUAUUAUGAUUGCACCACCGAUGCUUCCACAAUGUCUCUCAUCUGAAGAUGAACGUGAAGGUGAAUUCAUAUUCAGGACAGAAUCUAUGGAGAAAUUAACUAUGAAUAUGUAAAUAUGUAAAUGCUUAAAGCUGUUAAAAAGCUUAAAGCAUGAUGAUGUAUUAAUUAGUUCAGUGCAUCAUUAAUGAAACCGCUGAGUGUUGAUCAGAUAAAGUGUCAUAUCAGUCUAAUUUACUUCAUUCAACUCAAUAUUAAACAGUGUGUGAUGGAGUUUGUCUUUUCAUGUGUCUCUGUACAUUCAUGCAAAUAUUGUACAGUUCUUUUUCUUUUUACAGUUUAUUCAAUCAAACAUGCAUUUGAAUAUUUAUAUUUUGUGAAAAAUGUGAUUUCAGUAAUCUCAGAAGCUCAAAAGUAGAGAAUACAGGAAUAAAAUAUGAAACAAUAUUUUGUAAUGCCA
ensembl:lncRNA